UUUAAAGGCCGCUCCAUAAGGGACCUGAACCCAAGACCUUUGGCUUUAGACAUUAACCCUUUACCGCUUGACCAACACAUGCACACUAAAAUUUGAGAUUUUUGUCAUCGAAUAGAGAUAGCAUGUGAUUGUCUCUCAUGAUUGUGUGACUACAUAACUUUAUUAUUAAUUAUUAAGUACAAUAAACUAAAUAACAAUAAUGAAAUAAUUUUGAUCUGCUAGCUUUUGAAAAGCAAAAUCAUCAAUAACAUUUUUAAGAUCAAGUUUACCAUCCCUAAAUAAUGUGUUUUCAAUAUCUCAUUUUCAAUGCACAAAAUUGUUAGCACAUUUAAUAUAUCUUUCUUCAGACAUAGUAAUCGGCAAAUGUGAAUUUAUCAAUUUUAAUUUACAAAAAAUAUUUCUAUUCACACUACAAUAACUGGUAUACUUAACAAUAUCCUACAUGCAUUUGAAACAUUAAAUUAACAAUAUGAUGUUUUGACAAACUCAAAAACUUCUACAAUUAACUUUAUUUUCUUAUGAUAAGUAUAACACAUUUGUAUCACUUAUAAUUUUAAAAUAAAUCUUUAAUAUCAAUAUCAAAUAAUAUUUAUUUAAUAAAUUUAAAAUUAAUAAAUUUAAAAUUAAUAAAUAAUACUAACUUAUAAUUUUUUUUAAGUAAAAUACUACUACUAGAACUAAUUUUAAAUUUGGGGGCCCCUCAAAUUUGGGGGCCCUAGGCCUUUGCCCCAUUUGAAUUGAAGAAGGGCCGGCCCUG
rnacentral:lncRNA from 1 species